rnacentral:lncRNA from 1 species
GGACACGGACGGAGGGGACACAGGGGGACACGGUUGUGACAGGGGGGACACGGUCACGGAGGUUGGGCAUGGAGGGCCGUGGACAUGAAGGGGUGGACAUGGGACGCAGAGGGACACGGAUGUGACACGGGGGACACGGACGUGAGGGGGUGGGCACGGAGGGACAUGGAUGUGCGUGGGACACAGAAAGGGGUGGGCACCCAGGGAUUCGGACGUGAGGGGCAUCAUCGACAGGAGAGGGGACACAUGGGGGGACACGGGCACGAGGGGGUGACUUAAAGGGGCAGUGACACGAGGGGUUGGACACGGAGGUCACAGAGGGACACAGAUGGGAGAGGGUGGACGUGGAUGGACGCGGUCACGUGGGGGUGGACACGGACACAGGGGACACAGAAGGACACCAAUGACAGGGUGGACACGGACACGAGGGGGUGGACACAUGCGAGGGGAUGGACGUACAGGGACACGGACACGAGGGGGGACACGGACACAAGGGAGGGACACGGACACGAGGGGGGACACGGACGGGAGGGAGGGGACAUGGAGGGACACGGACGUGAGUGUGCACGGACAUUCACAUGCGGGGACGGACACACGGACACGGAUAUGGGUGGGUGGACAUGGAAGGACUUGGACACCAGGGGGCGAACACGGACACGGUGGGACAGAGGGACACAGAGGGACACGGGGGGGACACAGAGGGACACGGGGGGACACGACGGGGACACAGCAGGGGUGGGCACAAAGGGGCUUGGAAACGAGGAGUGGACAAAACCAUGGUGGACUCGGUGCACGUGGGACACCGACACGAGUGGCAGCCACGGGGAGGACACGGCCACGGGAGGGACACCAGGAUGGGGACACCCAGGGGACAGGGACACCCAUCCACGCACAGAGCCCCCCAACCACCCAGCCCUGGGGUCCCUUCACAUGCGGGGGGGGGGUCCCCGUGCUGCCAGUGGGGGGGUCUGUGUGCCCACGUGUGCCCCCCAGCCCUCGGAUGCUCCCAGGGCACCGGGGACCCCCAGCCGGUGCUGGGGGGAUGUUCAGAACCCCAGGAAAGGAUUAGAGGGGGGUCCGACGGGGCCAGGGGGUGCUGAGUUGGGGGGUGCUGCCCCCCUGCCCCCCCUCCGGGGCCGGCUACGCCCUAACGGGGUGACACGGAGCCGCCGGACCCGCCCGUUCCUCUUCCCCGCACCAGCAGCAGCGGCCGGAGCGCAGGCGAGUCGGGGGGGCUGGGGCUGGGGAGGAGGGGGCAGGA